ACACUGAUGAGGAGUCCCACAAUAGGACGAAACGUCCGUGCAGUGU
rnacentral:hammerhead_ribozyme from 1 species